UGGAGUCGCCUCGGGUCUCAAAAAAGCUCGUCUAGGUUUGUAAUUUGGAGCAGACAAUGGCUCAAGUAGCUUAUCCUCCACUUGGGACCCGGGUCUAACAUAGAAUUCGCAUACUAAUUUGUCCAUAGGGGGUGUUGAAAUGGAAUGGCUGUUAUCCUCUGCGUAGCUUGGUUCAAUGAUCAAUUGGAUGAUCAUUUUCCGUCAGAUAACCGAUCUAUAGUCGGGGGAAUUAGUUGGGAAGCGGGAGUUCUCUUUCGUAUGGUGGGGUUCACACCCUUAUCCGUUGGGAGAAGUUAAAAAGGAUUUCACUGAAGAUAUCUACGAGGAAAUCCUGGGCGUUUAAAAUACCUUCCACGAAGAAUGGGACUACCCCCUUACCCAAGAGCUACUCCUCUAAGGAUCAAUAAAUUGACGUAAAAUGAUCCAAGUAAUUGAUCAACGGACCAAGUUACCCUGGGGAUAACAGCGCAAUCCAUUUCAAGAGCCCCUAUCGACAAAUGGGUUUACGACCUCGAUGUUGGAUCAGGGUAUCCAAGUGGUGCAG
rnacentral:rRNA from 1 species